CACUGGCCAGGACAGGUGGACCUCCCUUCCCUCCCUCUACUACCGUCUGUACUCCAAAUCCCCAGGGCCACACGACUCUUCUGUGAUGUGUAUAAUCCUCAGAGCAAAACAUACUGUAAGCGGCUCCAGGUGCUGUGCCCCGAGCACUCACGGGACCCCAAAGUGCCAGCUGACGAGGUAUGCGGGUGCCCCCUUGUACGUGAUGUCUUUGAGCUCACGGGUGACUUCUGCCGCCUGCCCAAGCGCCAGUGCAAUCGCCAUUACUGCUGGGAGAAGCUGCGGCGUGCGGAAGUGGACUUGGAGCGCGUGCGUGUGUGGUACAAGCUGGACGAGCUGUUUGAGCAGGAGCGCAAUGUGCGCACAGCCAUGACAAACCGCGCGGGAUUGCUGGCCCUGAUGCUGCACCAGACGAUCCAGCACGAUCCCCUCACUACCGACCUGCGCUCCAGUGCCGACCGCUAAGCCUCCUGGCCCG
rnacentral:sRNA from 1 species